AAGGAUCAGAUGCUACUAGAAAAAUACGGUCAAAUUUUCUAAGUAUGAUAAUGGAUUGCAAUCCUUGUGAUUGAGAGAGAACAUCUUAGUUCUUAGGACAUGUAAGCCACAAUAAGAGAUAAGUGUCAGGU